AUUAAAAACUCUCUUGAGUCCCUACUGUCAUCAGUAAGUUAAAUCUCCAUUACAACUACACCGUCCUAACAUCCUACUCCAUCCGUGUCCUCUUCCAGGCUCUGCAUCCAGAAGGGAUGAAGCCUGAGGACUUGGUGAUCCUGGGAGGACUGGGGGGAAGUAUCCCACCACCACCUGUCGACUAGUAAAUUCCACGGAGGAGAUAAAAACAGCACUUACAGAUACGGAAGUACCCACUACCUACCAAAGAGAGACCACUUGCAAGCACAUAUA
rnacentral:lncRNA from 1 species